GGCGGRAAAGAACCAACAGGGAUUGCCCCAGUAACGGCGAGUGAAGCGGCAACAGCUCAAAUUUGAAAUCUGGCCCUCGGGUCCGAGUUGUAAUUUGUAGAGGAUGCUUUGGGCGAGGGGCCCCUCCGAGUUCCCUGGAACGGGACGCCUGAGAGGGUGAGAGCCCCGUACGGUCGGGUGCCCGAGCCUGUGUGAAGCUCCUUCGACGAGUCGAGUAGUUUGGGAAUGCUGCUCAAAAUGGGAGGUAAAUUUCUUCUAAAGCUAAAUACCGGCCAGAGACCGAUAGCGCACAAGUAGAGUGAUCGAAAGAUGAAAAGCACUUUGAAAAGAGGGUUAAACAGUACGUGAAAUUGUUGAAAGGGAAGCGUUUGCGACCAGACUUUUCCCCGGCGGAUCAUCCGGCGUUCUCGCCGGUGCACUCCGCCGGGCGUGAGGCCAGCAUCGGCUCCAGCGGGGGGACAAAGGCUCCGGGAAUGUGGCUCGCCCCGGCGAGUGUUAUAGACCGUUGCGCAAUACCCCCGCGGGGACCGAGGUACGCGCUCCGCAAGGAUGCUGGCGUAAUGGUCGUCAACGACCCGUCUUGAAACACGGACCAAGGAGUCGAACAUUUGUGCAAGUGUUUGGGUGUCAAACCCUUACGCGUAAUGAAAGUGAACGGAGGUGAGAGCCCUCGGGCGCAUCAUCGACCGAUCCUGAUGUUCUCGGAUGGAUUUGAGUAAGAGCAUAGCUGUUCGGACCCGAAAGAUGGUGAACUAUGCGUGGAUAGGGUGAAGCCAGAGGAAACUCUGGUGGAGGCUCGCAGCGGUUCUGACGUGCAAAUCGAUCGUCAAAUCUGCGCAUGGGGGCGAAAGACUAAUCGAACCAUCUAGUAGCUGGUACCGCGAGAUUU
rnacentral:rRNA from 1 species